rnacentral:tRNA from 2 species
GGGGCCAUCGUCUAGAGGCCCAGGACAGAUGGUUCUCAGCCAUCAGACCGGGGUUCGAAUCCCCGUGGCCCUGCCA